AACGAACGCUGGCGGCAUGCCUAACACAUGCAAGUCGAACGAGACCUUCGGGUCUAGUGGCGCACGGGUGCGUAACGCGUGGGAACCUGCCCUUAGGUUCGGAAUAACCCCCGAAAAGGGGUCCAAAAACGGGAUAAUGCCUCCGGACAAAAGAUUUAUCGCCUUUGGAUGGGCCCGCGUUGGAUUAGCUAGUUGGUAGGGUAAAAGCCUACCAAGGCGACGAUCCAUAGCUGGUCUGAGAGGAUGAUCAGCCACACUGGGACUGAGACACGGCCCAGACUCCUACGGGAGGCAGCAGUGGGGAAUAUUGGACAAUGGGCGAAAGCCUGAUCCAGCAAUGCCGCGUGAGUGAUGAAGGCCUUAGGGUUGUAAAGCUCUUUUACCCGGGAUGAUAAUGACAGUACCGGGAGAAUAAGCUCCGGCUAACUCCGUG
rnacentral:rRNA from 1 species